ensembl:lncRNA
GGUUGAAGCUACAAUAGAAGCUGACAGGUUGAAGCUACAAUAGAAGCUGACAGGUUGAAGCUACAAUAGAAGCUGACAGGUUGAAGCUACAAUAGAAGCUGACAGGUUGAAGCUACAAUAGAAGCUGACAGGUUGAAGCUACAAUAGAAGCUGACAGGUUGAAGCUACAGAUUGAAGCUACGAUAGAAGCUGACAGGUUGAAGCUACGAUAGAAGCUGACAGGUUGAAGCUUCAAUAGAAGCUGACAGGUUGAAGCUACAAUAGAAGCUGACAGGUUGAAGCUACAAUAGAAGCUGACAGGUUGAAGCUACAAUAGAAGCUGACAGGUUGAAGCUACAAUAGAAGCUGAAGCUGACAGGUUGAAGCUACAAUAGAAGCUGACAGGUUGAAGCUACAAUAGAAGCUGACAGGUUGAAGCUACAAUAGAAGCUGACAGGUUGAAGCUACAAUAGAAGCUGACAGGUUGAAG